rnacentral:rRNA from 1 species
CUGCUGCCUUCCGUAGGAGUCUGGUCCGUGUCUCAGUACCAGUGUGGGGGGCCUUCCUCUCAGAACCCCUACGCAUCGUCGCCUCGGUGGGCCGUUACCCCGCCGACUAGCUAAUGCGCCGCAUGCCCAUCCGUGGCCGGGAUUGCUCCCUUUGGCGGCCUUGGGAUGCCCCAAGGCCGCGUUACGCGAUAUUAGACGGGGUUUCCCCCGCUUAUCCCCCUGCCACGGGCAGGUUGCAUACGUGUUACUCACCCGUGCGCCGGUCGCCGG